AGGACGAACGCUGGCGGCGUGCCUAAUACAUGCAAGUCGAACGGUCUUUCUAUGGAAGCUUGCUUCCACUGAGAAGAUAGUGGCGAACGGGUGAGUAACACGUGGGUAACCUGCCCAUAAGAGGGGGGAUAACAUCCGGAAACGGGUGCUAGUACCGCAUAGUUUUCUUGAUCGCAUGAUCGGGAAAGGAAAGACGGCCUUUGUGCUGUCGCUUAUGGAUGGACCCGCGGCGUAUUAGUUAGUUGGUGAGGUAACGGCUCACCAAGACGAUGAUACGUAGCCGACCUGAGAGGGUGAUCGGCCACAUUGGGACUGAGACACGGCCCAAACUCCUACGGGAGGCAGCAGUAGGGAAUCUUCCGCAAUGGACGAAAGUCUGACGGAGCAACGCCGCGUGAGUGAAAGAAGGUUUUCGGAUCGUAAAACUCUGUUGUCAGAGAAGAACAAGUUGGAGAGUAACUGCUCCAGCCUUGACGGUAUCUGACCAGAAAGCCACGGCUAACUACGUGCCAGCCGCGGC
rnacentral:rRNA from 1 species